ACUGCGCCCGGCCUUUUGGCCAAGAACUAAGCGUAGUAUCUGUUCUUAUCAGUUUAAUCGACGGAUACAUCCUCUACUGGAGGACCGGAUAGUAAAUGGAUUUUUGGAGCAGGGAGAUGGAAUAGGAGCUUGCUCCGUCCUCUCCACGCAUCGAAUUUUUUAAAAAAAAAUAAAAAUUAAAAAAGUCUGUCCCUUC
rnacentral:snRNA from 1 species